rnacentral:rRNA from 1 species
UACGUAGGGGGCAAGCGUUGUCCGGAAUUAUUGGGCGUAAAGAGCGUGUAGGCUGUUCGAUAAGUUUGCUGUAAAAGUCGGGGGCUCAACCCCCGGAAGCCGGUGAAUACUGUCGAGCUAGAGUACGGAAGAGGCGAGUGGAAUUCCUGGUGUAGCGGUGAAAUGCGCAGAUAUCAGGAGGAACACCUAUUGCGAAGGCAGCUCGCUGGUACGUAACUGACGCUGAGACGCGAAAGCGUGGGUAGCAAACAGG